rnacentral:rRNA from 1 species
UCCAGACUCCUACGGGAGGCAGCAGUGGGGGAUAUUGCACAAUGGGGGGAACCCUGAUGCAGCGACGCCGCGUGGGUGAAGGAGCGUUUCGGCGCGUAAAGCCCUCUCGGCAGGGAAGAAGGAGGACGGUACCUGACUAAGAAGCCCCGGCUAACUACGUGCCAGCAGCCGCGGUAAUACGUAGGGGGCAAGCGUUAUCCGGAUUUACUGGGUGUAAAGGGGGCGCAGACGGCAGCGCAAGCCAGGAGUGAAAGCCCGGGGCCCAACCCCGGGACUGCUCUUGGAACUGCGCGGCUGGAGUGCAGGAGGGGCAGACGGAAUUCCUGGUGUAGCGGUGAAAUGCGUAGAUAUCAGGAGGAACACCGGUGGCGAAGGCGGCCUGCUGGACUGCGACUGACGUUGAGGCCCGAAAGCGUGGGGAGCAAACAGGAUUAGAUACCCCCGUAAG